GUUUUUCGCUCUAAGAUGAGCCCGCGCAAGAUUAGCUAGUUGGUAGGGUAACGGCCUACCAAGGCGACGAUCUUUAGCUGGUCUGAGAGGAUGAUCAGCCACACUGGAACUGAGACACGGUCCAGACUCCUACGGGAGGCAGCAGUAGGGAAUAUUGCACAAUGGAGGAAACUCUGAUGCAGCGACGCCGCGUGAGUGAUGAAGGCCUUCGGGUCGUAAAGCUCUGUCGCAUGGGAAUAAGAAAGUG
rnacentral:rRNA from 1 species